GCGGCUGGUCCUCUAGAUGGGCACGAAUGCC
rnacentral:piRNA from 1 species